rnacentral:lncRNA from 1 species
UCAAGUUUGGAGUGUCAGAUUUUGGCGUUUUUAGAUCCUAAUUUCAUUGGAAACGGGUCAACGAUCAAAAGUCACUAGCUUUACUGGUGAACUGCAGGGUUUUUUGGUCGAAUUCCAUCAUUUAGGCCUUCAAAAUUGCAUGUAAAAAUUUGGUUUAUUUUCUGGUUACUAAAAUUAUGUAAUUUGGUUACUGUCUAAUAUUGAUUUGG